rnacentral:antisense_RNA from 11 species
AAUAACCAAAUUUAAGACUUGGGGUAAACGUCAAAUUAGUWAGUUAAUUUUCUUAUAUUACCCCUUUGGAACCCUGGUCAAUAAAUAAUAUCAAAUACUAAAAGAAAAGAAUGUAUAUCUAACAAGAUUUAGUGAAUACAAAAUUAUGAUCAUCUUAUUUCUAUUUUUUUU